GAUGAACGCUGGCGGCGUGCCUAACACAUGCAAGUCGAGCGAUUUACUUCGGUAAAGAGCGGCGGACGGGUGAGUAACGCGUGGGUAACCUGCCCUAUACACACGGAUAACAUACCGAAAGGUAUGCUAAUACGAGAUAAAAUAAGAGAUUCGCAUGGAUUUCUUAUCAAAGCUUUUGCGGUAUAGGAUGGACCCGCGUCUGAUUAGCUAGUUGGUAAGGUAACGGCUUACCAAGGCGACGAUCAGUAGCCGACCUGAGAGGGUGAUCGGCCACAUUGGAACUGAGACACGGUCCAAACUCCUACGGGAGGCAGCAGUGGGGAAUAUUGCACAAUGGGCGAAAGCCUGAUGCAGCAACGCCGCGUGAGCGAUGAAGGCCUUCGGGUCGUAAAGCUCUGUCCUCAAGGAAGAUAAUGACGGUACUGAG
rnacentral:rRNA from 1 species